AUUUUAAAUUAUUUUAUUUAUUUAUUAGCAGCCUGGAUUUAAAAAAAAAGCAAUAAUAUUUUAAAAAUAAAAAACAAGAAAAAUAUUGGCAUUUAUUAUAAGUGUAGCCAUCGAUUUUUAGCAGACAAAUGAAAAAAACACCUUUCCGGUCUAUCUGCCUAUUUCGUAUUCAAAAUCUGGCAAUAAGCGCAUUUCUUGAUCGAAACCGGUUUCGUCGACAGCUAAACCAUCGACUGUUCUAAUGUUUAAUUAAUUUUAAAAGAAGGAAAAAAUACCGAUAUUUUAUAAAAUUGAUAAAUAAAAGCCGUGGACGCCAGUUAUAAUGGUGAAAUGUGGACCGAACCAUUGUAAAUAGGUAACGAUAAACGAAUGUUGCCCUGGUAGCAUUUCUUUGAUCACAUCAGCAAUAAAUAAUAUCUUUUAAACUAUCUAAUCUAUUGCCUUUUCCUGUACGCUAUGCAUAUUUUACGUAAAGAAAGGUUUUGAUCGAAUAAACAACUGUAAAUGUUUAAUGGCACAAAGAGGAAUUUUUUGUGUAGGAGUAUCGCGCCACCGUAACCCGAAACGCGCUAACUGUUAUCUUAUAAAAUUAUUUAUCGCUUACUCUCGACAUUCUCCACGCUUUUCGGCCAGGUUUUUAACCAGCCAUUCUUCACGGUACUGGUUAAGUAGCGGAAAUAUGGCCGUCUUACUCGGUACGGCUCGGGUAACAAUUGUUUAGCUUAUCCCUACCGAGCCGUCUUUUCUGGCCAUUACAAAAUUAACUGAUAAUUCUAACGGGCGGAAAUGUCUAAAGUCCCUUUUUUCCUUUUAAGACGCGCAGCCUUAAAAGGAAAAAGGCGAGAAACAUCCUUUCCCAGAAAACAUCGAUUUACUUUAUCCACCGUCCAGCCUGGCUAAGUUAACAUCGAUUAUCCAGAAUUUCUAUUUAAAUGCCGAGUAACUUUUGAUAUUUAUAGAUAGCCGCUAAUUUUUCCUAUAUGAAAUUUUCCGUUGUUGUUAAAUAUUUGUCAUUUAAAAUUUUAAUAAUUUUCAUGGGUCGUCUAAGUAAAAUUAAAUUUUCUAUAUAUAACCAGACUCGAUUCGGCCUAUCGGGUCGGGUUUAAUCGAGAUUUUGGAUAAUUAUAUUCGAUGAGUUUUCUUUUUAUCCGUUACCUCUACUACGGCCGUAGGUCCUAUAUACCGAAAAGUGGAAACUCCAAUUUUUUUAUACCGACCAUAAAACCGGUCGGAAUGCCCCUAGCCACUUCUUUUUUUUUUCCCCCACGAUAUUUGAAAAUUGAAGCAAUAAAUAGUUUAAAUAAAAUCUAUUUAGCCCUGGCCAAAAAAAUGAAAAAAUUCUGAAACUUUCUAGUAAAAAUUUACGGUAUUCGGUCCAAGCGUCUGAAUCGACGAUUUUAUAACAUUUAUUUAUUAAGCCAGACAUAAAAUUAUAGUUGGUGCGUAUAGUGUGGUGUUUAGGUUUAUGGGAAAAUUAUUGUGGUAGUAAUUAUUCCCACGGACUAGUUAAAAAUAUUAAAAGAGGAAACGACCCAAGAAUCUCCGGUUUUUAAAUUCCAUCUUACGGCUUUAAAACGACCGCUAGUAUUUAUUCUUAUCGACAGAUGGCGCGGUAAUAGGAAGUAAAUGUAGUUUACCUACAGAUACUACAGCCUAGUUACGGUAACUGUUACCGAUAGCGCGGUUGGUGUGACGAAAAUCAAUAAAUGCUUUUAGCGGUAAGUCGAAUAAAAAAAUAUACAAGUUUGACGGACACGAUAUAUAACUCGACUCGGAUGUUACAAAUAUUUUCCAAGUAAAUUCUCUGCUAAUAACUAACUAUAAAAACAAAUAAAAAUGCUUGUCUUUCCCCGAAAAUAUUAAUUUUUGCUCCAAAAGACGCGUUACGACUUAUUUUCGGAAGAUGUCUUACUUUUCGCGUACAACAAUCUAUAUUUAUUCAGAUACAAUCACCGUGACACCGCUGUAUUUGAUUAGAUAUCCGAUCUUCUUUUGGAAGGCGGUUCCGAAUUCCAGCCUGACUGCAGGCUGGAAGUUGGCCCCCAUCUCUCCUGUCCAGCCAUACAGUUCUCCUUAAAUCAGCGCUUCUUGUCCCAGUAACCCGCUGAUAGCGCACUGGCCACACGGCUGUCGGUGAUUUUAUCUCAACAGUCGCAUCGCCGGCCUACUAGGCUUGGCCCUCAUUUCUACCCACCCUAUUUUCCACCUAGUCAUUGUUUACUUAUAUUUAAUUAUAUAUUAAUAUUCUUAUUAUGUAAUACAAUAGGUCCGUCGUGUUGCCACGGUCGUAUUAAAUGGCUUAUUUUGGACGUAUGGCUAAUGGCCUAUCGAGGGGACGGAGGGGGACCGCCCCGAGCUUCUGAUCGGGGGAUCUUCCGAAAAACCUUCAGUUUUAAAUAUAUGUACCUACAUGUAGGAAUAUAAAAAAGGGACUUUGUAUUCUGGGAGGAUGAUGACGUGUAAAUGUGCAGUGUUUAUGUUUAAAAGUUUAUGUUAGAAGGCUG
rnacentral:lncRNA from 1 species